rnacentral:rRNA from 1 species
UACGUAGGUGGCAAGCGUUGUCCGGAAUUAUUGGGCGUAAAGCGCGCGCAGGCGGUUCUUUAAGUCUGAUGUGAAAUCUUGCGGCUCAACCGCAAACGGUCAUUGGAAACUGGGGAACUUGAGUGCAGAAGAGGAGAGUAGAAUUCCACGUGUAGCGGUGAAAUGCGUAGAGAUGUGGAGGAAUACCGGUGGCGAAGGCGGCUCUCUGGUCUGUAACUGACGCUGAGGCGCGAAAGCGUGGGGANCAAACAGG